CUCCUGACGUGCACCGCAAGGUCUACACCGCGAUGAGGUCAUUAUGAACUCUGGUUGUUGUAUUGUUAGUCUGAGUGGUAAACACAAUAAACAAGUUAAAACUUUCAACAACGGAUCUCUUGGUUCUCGCAUCGAUGAAGAACGCAGCGAAAUGCGAUAAGUAGUGUGAAUUGCAGAAUUCAGUGAAUCAUCGAAUCUUUGAACGCACAUUGCGCCUUCUGGUAUUCCGGGAGGCAUGCCUGUUCGAGCGUCAUCAAACACAUCCUCAAGCAUCUUUGCUUGGUAUUGGAGGAAGAUGUCUGCAUCUCCUCUCAAAUCCCUCAGCGGAAACUACUGCAGUCUCAGGUGUUAUAAGAUUACCUUUCGCUUGACAACUGCCGGUAGGUUCUUGCUGUGAAGAGCCCCCCAGCUAUUCUUUUAAGUUUGACCUCGAAUCAGGUAGGGAUACCCGCUGAACUUA
rnacentral:rRNA from 1 species